GAUGAAGAACGUAGUGAAAUGCGAUAAGUAAUGUGAAUUGCAGAAUUCAGUGAAUCAUCGAAUCUUUGAACGCACAUUGCGCCCCCCAGUAUUCUGGCGGGCAUGCCUGUUCGAGCGUCAUUUCAACCAUCAAGCCCUGUUUGUGUUGGGGUCCUGCGGCUGCCCGCAGGCCCUGAAAACCAGUGGCGGGCUCGCUAGUCACACCGAGCGCAGUAGCACAUCUCGCUCAGGGCGUGCGGCGGGCUCCAGCCGUUAAAGCACCCACCUUUCGCAAGGUUGACCUCGGAUCAGGUAGGAAUACCCGCUGAACUUAAGCAUAUCAAUAAGCGGAGGA
rnacentral:misc_RNA from 1 species